rnacentral:rRNA from 1 species
UACGUAGGUGGCAAGCGUUGUCCGGAAUUAUUGGGCGUAAAGCGCGCGCAGGCGGUCCCUUAAGUCUGAUGUGAAAGCCCACGGCUCAACCGUGGAGGGUCAUUGGAAACUGGGGGACUUGAGUACAGAAGAGGAAAGCGGAAUUCCACGUGUAGCGGUGAAAUGCGUAGAGAUGUGGAGGAACACCAGUGGCGAAGGCGGCUUUCUGGUCUGUAACUGAUGCUGAGGCGCGAAAGCGUGGGGAGCAAACAGG